CUACUGAUGAAGAGUCCCAAACUAGGACGAAACAGCUGUUUAGUAC
rfam:Trichobilharzia regenti genome assembly, scaffold: TRE_scaffold0087840